GAUGAAGAACGUAGCGAAAUGCGAUAAGUAAUGUGAAUUGCAGAAUUCAGUGAACCAUCGAAUCUUUGAACGCACAUUGCGCCCGGCAGUAAUCUGCCGGGCAUGCCUGUCCGAGCGUCAUUUCUGCCCUCGAGCGAGUCCAGCAUCUAGGUGCUGGGCCCGCCCGGCGUUGGGGCACUACGGGAAGCCCUGUGCUGUCCCCCGUAGGCCCCGAAAUGAAGUGGCGGUCCUGCCGCGGCGCCCCCUGCGUAGUAUAACAGCUCGCUUCGGGACCCGGUGGAGGCCUGCCGUCAAACCUUACUCUCUAAGUUUGACCUCGGAUCAGGUAGGGUUACCCGCUGAACCUAAGCAUAUCAAUAAGCGGAGGA
rnacentral:misc_RNA from 1 species